CUUGAAGUUUCUUGAUAUCCACUCUCAUUUGUAAAAACCCUUCCCACCAUCAAACCCUUUCACCUUCAUUCCCCUUUUCCUCCCUCUAUUUAUUUCUCAACCCUGAAAAAUAGAAGGAAUGCAGAGGCUCCACUGCAAAAAACCCUUAAAAACAGAGAGGAGAGGUCAACAGAGGGGUUAGGGUUUAGUACCACUGACGGAGGGUGAUGUGAAAAAGGAGAACAUUAGGUGGUUUUGAUUUGGAUUUAUUACUCUGGUUGAUGGAAGCGAAGAUGUGUUCGUUCACGAAUCAGCACACCCAGGAGAAUCAGCAAUGGAGGUGGGUGCAAUACAAAAUUCCAAGAAAGAAAACCCUAGUAGGUUUGCAAAGCCAGAGCAGUAGAGAAGAAAGGGCAAGAAAAAAGGAAAAGAAAUUAAGUUGGCGACUUCUCUCUUCUCUCUGUUUGUAUCUAUUUAUGGCAUUAAGUGCAAGAAUCUUGCCCAAAGGAGGGAGCUGCUACUGACUGAGUUUCAAGAGAAGCACAAAACACUGAGUUCAGCUGGGUGGAACAAUAUCUCCUAGUGAAGGAAGCUUCAUCAUAUUGCACAUACAACAUGCAUGCACUGCUUCUGCUGCAUUCUGAUGGUUGCUCGAAAUCCUUAGGUUUGCGAACAAUGCAAAACUUUUUAGCUAUAGACAAGGCUGCUAAAAAGAAACAUGGUCCUUUUGAUGUACCAAAAUACGCGGAUCAGAUUCAAUCUAUGUGCCAAAGCAUGUAUGCUGGGUCAAAAGCUUGAAUAUGAAGUCUUUAGAGCACGGCCUCCUCUUUGGAAUGUGGUGCUUCAAAAUGAGGCUGCUAAUGCUGAUGAAGAUCUUGAGCAUUUUGAAGAUUGUGAGUUUAUUCCAACUGCAUACAGCGGGAUUUUGAGAAGCAUGGGUGCUUGAGUUUUACAUUUAAAAUCUAAAAAUGGCAUUGCAAAAUUUGAGCAUUACUUUGCGUGAACACUAUAUAAGAAUUAUAUUGAGAUAAGCAACUGGUACCUUUAUGCAGAUAUGUUCUAAGUUUUAUUUUAGUGUCACUGGGUUAGUCAUCGUUUCAUAUGUAUAUUUACUAGUAUGCUUCCUCAAUUUCAUGAGCAAUGGCAAUGCAGAUAAGGUAGGCUGGUGGAGCUCAUGGCACCUUGCCUCACAUGUGCACCCCUUGGUAGUUACAACCAUAUGGCAAUAUUCAUGAUUAUUGUUUGUGAGGUGCAUGAAAUUUGCUGCAUUUUUAUCUUUGGUUUGAGAUUAACAGGGCUGGUAAGAAAGAAACCUCUGAUGUGCUAAUAUACACGGAUCAAAUUCCUUCUAUGUGCCAAAGCAUGUGUGUGGGGUCAAGACCUCAAAUAUGAUUCUUCAUCUGAUUCAAGCACCAAGCACCGCCAAAGAAAGUGAGAGGUAUGAUGCAGUUGCUGCCGACCAAGCCCAUGUUCCACUUUCUCUCACUGCUCAAACUGUAGCAUCCCCUGUGAUCCAUGUGAUCGUGGCAGCAGUGAUAAGACAAAAUGGAAGUUUCUGGAAGUGUUGGACUGUUACAAAAUGAUCGAAAUGAAACGGAUGACUUGGAAGAUGCUUAUAUCCAUAUGCCAGAAGGUGAUCCUACUGCAAAAAUUAACUUACUGGAUUUUGUGUAUAGGACGUCAUUAAAGCUGAGAAGGAAAUGGAACAGUCUAAGAUGGAAAUUCCGCCAUUACCUUCCGAAAAUGCAUCUAAGUCUGGCAAGGCGAAAAUGAGUGAGUAUCAUUGACAAUGUCAGAAGUCCGGCACCAUAUUACAGCAUAUUAUAGGUCUCAGCAUUGGGUAGGCCAAGUCAGUAUUAUGUGUUGUCUGUUUUUUGGGGCUGAUGGCUGGAUUUUCGUUAUGAUUGAUUAAGAUAUUCAUGCAUGUAGUCCAUGGCCAUAAAGGGCCCUUAAUGUUAGUGUUUGCAUCUGAAUGCAUAUUUAUCAAAGACUUUUAUCAUUAUCAUAAACUCUAAAUCUAAUAAGCAGCCAACCAUGAAAGAAAAAAUUCGAUAUUGAAUCAUUUUGUUUGCAAAAAGCUAAAGAAUUUAUGGAUUGUCAUAAUAAAUAGUAAUGUCUCAUUUUCUGGCUUUUAGAUGAUUGAGUUGAUAGAUGGAGAAGAGAGCAAGUAUUUUGAUUUUUAUCUUUUUAUUUCGUGAAAGUUGUUGGAGCAUUUUAUGUUAUGAUUUAUCUAUGUCUUUCUUCUCUUGCUUAAGCUCCUUUCAGGAUCUUUUUUUGGUUGUUCCUUGUAUUUUAAGCUUUUUACUCUUUUGGUUUGGGAGAUGAGAUGGGUCAGUAGUGGUUGUAAUCUUGCUAAUUAUGCCUUCACCUCAUGAAGCUCGAUAUACAAAAAAGUCUCUUCUUAGGUAUGCUUCAAUGUUUUGAGAGCAAAUCAAAAGCAGGAAAAAAAAUCAAGCAGUGGAACAUACGAUGUGUGGAAACUCUUGCCAUUAUGUGCAGUGGAGAAGCUUACCUUUGAACCGGCCCCUAUACAUUAUACACCUUGUGGUGCUUGCAUCAAAAGGAAUGGUACGCCCUAUACCAUCGGAGCUGGUGAAACCCAUCGUAGCUGAUGGAAGUGGUCUUACAAAGGCAAGGAUGGGGAAAAAGAAAAAUGACGACGAAACUGAAGAAUGGUGGCUCCCAAUGCGACAAGUGUGAAGCGUGGCAUCAUCAAAUUUGUGCAUUUAUUCUAUGGUAGAAGAAAGAAUGGUGGACAGGCUGACUACACUUGUCCAAGUUGUUAUAUAGAAGAAGAGGUGACCAUGUGCCAUUACCGCAGAGUGCUGUUCUAGGAACCAAGGAUUUGCCUAAAACAAUUUUGAGUGAUCGCAUAGAGCAGCGAUUAUUUGCAAAGCUGAAACAAGAAAGGCAGGACACAGCAAGGCUUCAAAGCAAAAGUUAUGGUGCCUGGAGCAGAAGCAAUUGUACUAAGAGGUGGUGUCCAGUGGACAAGAAGUUGGAAGUUAGACCAGGAUUUCUUGAAAUUUUCCUAGAGGGAGAUUAUCCGGCAGAAUACCCCUAUAAAUCUAAGGUAAUACAAUUUAUUCAGAAAAUUAAAGGUGUUGAAGUGUGGCUAGUUGGGAUGUAUGUUCAAGAAUUUGGAUCCAAAUGUCAGCAGCCUAAGCAGCCUAAUCAUCACUGAGUCUACCUAUCUUACCUGGACUCACUUAAGUAUUUCAGGCCUGAGGUCAAAGCAAUGACUGGAGAGGUUUGCGAACAUUUUUGUACCACGAAACCUUUGGCAAGUAUUCUGGACCCAUUGUUCUUUUGCUACAUUGGAGUUUCAAUACCUGGUCUGUUUGUACCAUCACUUAUAUUUUCAGAUUGGAUACUUAGAAUACUGCAAAAAGCGUGGUUUCACAAGCUGUUAUAUAUGGGCUUGCCCUCUGAUGAAAGGGGAAGAUUACAUUUUGUAUUGCUACCCAGAAAUUCAGAAUACACCAAACUCGCAUAAACUAAGGGAGUAGUAAGGUUGAUGGUUGUUUGAUCAUGAGAAUGUAGAUUGCGAGUGGUGAGGUAAUUUGUCGCACUAUUUACUUGAAUUAUCGAGCUUUGUUUCAGUUACUUGUCCCUACUAAGAAAAGCUACAAGGGAAAAUAUUGCAGUUGAUCUUACUAACCUCUAUGACUAUUUUUGUGUCCACCAGUGAAUGUAAAGCAGAGGUAACUGCAACUCGAUUGCCAUACUUUGAUGAGAUUAUUGGUCUGGUGUUGCAGAGGACAUGAUCUAUCAACUGCAUGUGUAUUUUAUUUUUCUAAAUACUAUUCUAUUUUUAAUUUUGGUGAUUUAGUGGUGCUAUCGAGCUUUCUUGUUAUUGGUAGACGCUUUGGAUAGCCAAAAGAAAGAAAGAAAAGAAGAGAAGGGACAUUGGGGUUUUGGUGCUUUAAUCUUCGUUUCUUCUUUCUUAACCAACCUUGUCUCUCUUCAUGGUUGGAGACAGCGGCACCUGAAGAAAUAGUACUGCUUAUUAAGUGUAAUAAACAACAAUUGACUAGAGGAUCCGAGAGAAGGGGAAUAAGUUGAUUGACAUAUGCCAUGUGAUAUAAUUUCAUGUAUCCUUGAGGAAAUCUUUUUUCUUGCAA